rfam:Myotis lucifugus cont2.61399, whole genome shotgun sequence.
CCCCAUGAUCCCCAAGGGUUGAUUCGCUUGAUCUGGCUGCUAAGCGGGGUUUCCCCCCUUCUCCCCUCACCGAUCAAUGUGCGUCCCUCCCGAAACUGCGCGCUCAAUAGAAGGAGACGCCCUUCCCCCCCCCCCCCCCCCCGAGGAGAGGACCGGUCUUCGGUCAAGGGUAUACAAGUAGCUGCACUCCCCUGCUAGAACCUCCAAACAAGCUCUCAAGUAUGUGGGCAAAUGAAAAUAACUUUUUCACAUUUUAAAGUUUUACUCAAAAGAUAAUUUACUAUUUUUU